UACGGAGGGUGCGAGCGUUGUCCGGAAUCAUUGGGCGUAAAGGGCGCGUAGGUGGCCCGUUCAGCGUGCGGUGAAAGCUCGGGGCUCAACCCCGAGUCGGCCGUGCGAACUGGUGGGCUGGAGCACUGUAGAGGCAGGCGGAAUUCCGGGUGUAGCGGUGGAAUGCGUAGAGAUCCGGAAGAACACCGGUGGCGAAGGCGGCCUGCUGGGCAGUGGCUGACACUGAGGCGCGACAGCGUGGGGAGCAAACAG
rnacentral:rRNA from 1 species